rnacentral:rRNA from 1 species
UACGUAGGGUGCAAGCGUUGUCCGGAAUUAUUGGGCGUAAAGAGCUCGUAGGCGGUUUGUUGCGUCGGCUGUGAAAUCCCGAGGCUCAACCUCGGGUCUGCAGUCGAUACGAGCAAACUAGAGUGUUGCAGGGGAGACUGGAAUUCCUGGUGUAGCGGGGAAAUGCGCAGAUAUCAGGAGGAACACCGGUGGCGAAGGCGGGUCUCUGGGCAACAACUGACGCUGAGGAGCGAAAGCGUGGGGAGCGAACAGG